rnacentral:rRNA from 1 species
GAUGAACGCUGGCGGCGUGCUUAACACAUGCAAGUCGAACGGAAGGGCCCAAGCUUGCUUGGGUACUCGAGUGGCGAACGGGUGAGUAACACGUGGGUGAUCUGCCCUGCACUUCGGGAUAAGCCUGGGAAACUGGGUCUAAUACCGGAUAGGACCACUUCUUGGAUGUUGUGGUGGAAAGUUUUUUCGGUGUGGGUUGAGUUGGCGGCCUAUCGGCUUGUUGGUGGGGUAAUGGCCUACCAAGGCGUUGACGGGUAGCCGGCCUGAGAGGGUGUACGACCGCAUUGGGACUGAGAUACGGCCCAGACUCCUACGGGAGGCAGCAGUGGGGAAUAUUGCACAAUGGGCGCAAGCCUGAUGCAGCGACGCCGCGUGGGGGAUGACGGCCUUCGGGUUGUAAACUCCUUUCGCUAGGGACGAAGCGUUUUGUGACGGUACCUGGAGAAGAAGCACCGGCUAACUACGUG